rnacentral:rRNA from 1 species
GAUGAACGCUGGUGGCGUGCCUAAUACAUGCAAGUCGAGCGAACAGACGAGGAGCUUGCUCCUCUGACGUUAGCGGCGGACGGGUGAGUAACACGUGGAUAACCUACCUAUAAGACUGGGAUAACUUCGGGAAACCGGAGCUAAUACCGGAUAAUAUAUUGAACCGCAUGGUUCAAUAGUGAAAGACGGUUUUGCUGUCACUUAUAGAUGGAUCCGCGCCGCAUUAGCUAGUUGGUAAGGUAACGGCUUACCAAGGCGACGAUGCGUAGCCGAACGGAGAGAGGGAUCGCCCACAUUGGAACUGAGACACGGUCCAGGCUCCUACGGGAGGCACCAGAAGGGAAUCUUCCGCAAUGGGCGAAAGCCUGACGGAGCAACGCGGCGUGAGUGAUGAAGGUCUUCGGAUCGUAAAACUCUGUUAUUAGGGAAGAACAAAUGUGUAAGUAACUAUGCACGUCUUGACGGUACCUAAUCAGAAAGCCACGGCUAACUACGUG